CUCCCGGUUUCCGAAUCCCGGCGGCUCCCGCGCAGUUCCGGAGUUGAGGGAGGAAGUCCAGUCCCGGCGGCCAGGCUCUCCGCCUCUCUCGCUGAGGGCGCCAAGGCCCCUCUCCCCUCCUCCGUCCCUGCGAGGUCACAGCCCGGAGAGCAGGAGGAGGAGGUGAUGGGGAAAAAGACAUCUUGUCGCAGCUCCAGGUUUCCAGCCUAGGGAGUUUAUCUUUGGGGGGACAGAAUGCGUGCCAGGAAACCGAGUGCUGAGCAUACGUUUUCUUUGCUCCCACGAGGGAUCCCACGAAGCUGCCGAAGAGGCAGCGAUGUUGUGGGACCCUGAGGCGAGUGUCAGACCAAACUCAGCACUAGACGUGGACACCCAUCCUGCACACAGAAGAUGCUGAUUUUAGGGCCCCUCCUGAGGAUCCCCUACCCAGGAAUGAAACCAGUCACAUUGGUUCCCAGAGACGUGAAAAGCUGGGAAGUAUGGAGGAGAUGAUAGUAAAAACUAUAGGGAUUGUGGAGGCAGAGUUUCAAAAAUGAGUAUUUCUUCAAAGUGUGGUGGACCUGACUUGGCCGCUGGCCUUGAACGGGCUGGGGAGCUCCAUGAGCAGUCUCCUCAAUUAAAUCCAACAUCCUAGGAAGAGAAAAAAAGAAACUCCAUCCACCUGCUGGUCGGGUUUCAACAAAAGGACCCCGGACAAAACAUGACUAUUAAUUGGGACAAAACUGAAAAGUGGAAGCAAAGUAAAGCUCCCAUUAGCCUCCCAGGAACUGAGCAGCAGCUCUUCAAUGGAAGCCAAGGAACUUGUUUGCAGACAAUCAGAGGGAUCAGCUCAGAAACCCAGCCCUGACCUGACAGGCCCUGGAAUUGCCGAGAGAAGGGGACCGAACAUGGGCCCUGCCCUGAAGGACUCACAAGUAAGAGACCAGGCCCAAAGUGUCAUGGGAGUCAUGCUGGGGACAGCAGGAUGCACAGAAUGAAGGCACAAUUCCCUCGCACAGGGGAUUGACAAAGCCCCACAGGGCAGCUGUGGUUUGACUGGGGCUGGGAAAACAAAUGUGUUUGCCACAGGGUCAAGUGGGAACGGCAGGUCAGGUCCGGUGAGCAGAUCAACCCAUAUGCCUUGAGGGCACACCUCUGGAGAAAGACUGUCCUAGAUCAAACCCCGUUCCUGCCACUGGUUCACUGCAUAACCUUGACCUCGGGCAAGACAGGUGUCUCAGGGAGCCCCAGUCCAGUCGGCUAUAAAAUCGGGAUCAUCAUGGCAGCUCCUUUAUAGGUGCUCUCCAGCCUGUAAGAUAUUCAAGUCCUUAGAACACACGCAAGCACUCAAUAAAUGUCAGCUCUUAUAACUAAAUGUACACAAGUUCUUGGAAGUGAAAC